CCUACGGGGGGCUGCAGUGAGGAAUAUUGGUCAAUGGCCGGAAGGCUGAACCAGCCAUGCCGCGUGAAGGUCAGUGCCCUAUGGGCGUUAAACUUCUUUUGUGCGGGAGCCAUAAUGGUCACGUGUGGCCAGACGAGAGUACCUUACGAAUAAGCAUCGGCUAACUCCGUGCCAGCAGCCGCGGUAAUACGGGGGAUGCAAGCGUUAUCCGGAUUUAUUGGGUUUAAAGGGGGUGUAGGCGGGAGAGCAAGUCCGACGUGAAAUUCCAGGGCUCAACCCUGGAAGUGCGUUUGAAACUGUUCUUCUUGAGUGAUGGAGAGGCAGGCGGAAUGCCGUGUGUAGCGGUGAAAUGCGUAGAUAUACGGAGGAACACCAGUGGCGAAGGCGGCCUGCUGGACAUUAACUGACGCUGAGGCGCGAAAGCGUGGGGAGCAAACAAGAUUAGAUACCCCUGUAGUC
rnacentral:rRNA from 1 species